rnacentral:misc_RNA from 1 species
UACGGAGGGUGCGAGCGUUAAUCGGAAUUACUGGGCGUAAAGCGCGCGUAGGCGGCCAUUUAAGCUAGAUGUGAAAGCCCCGGGCUUAACCUGGGAACUGCAUUUAGAACUGGGUGGCUAGAGUACAGCAGAGGAUAGUGGAAUUUCCGGUGUAGCGGUGAAAUGCGUAGAGAUCGGAAGGAACAUCAGUGGCGAAGGCGACUGUCUGGGCUGAUACUGACGCUGAGGUGCGAAAGCGUGGGGAGCAAACAGG